rnacentral:rRNA from 1 species
UACCUGCAGCUCAAGUGGUGACCGCUAUUAUUGGGCCUAAAACGUUCGUAGCCGGUUUGGUAAAUGCCUGGGUAAAUUGUGUAGCUUAACUAUACAAAUUCCGGGUAGACUGCCAAACUUGAGACCGGGAGAAGCUAGAGGUACUCCUGGGGUAGAGGUGAAAUUCUGUAAUCCUGGGGGGACCACCAGUGGCGAAGGCGUCUAGCUAGAACGGGUUUGACGGUGAGGAACGAAGCCCUGGGGCGCAAACCGGAUUAGAUACCCGGGUAGUCCAGGGUGUAAACGCUGCUUGCUUGAUGUUAGUUGGGCUCCGAGCCCAAUUAGUGUCGGAGGGAAGUUGUUAAGCAAGCUGCCUGGGAAGUACGAUCGCAAGAUUGAAACUUAAAGGAAUUGGCGGGGAGCACAGCAACGGGUGGAGCGUGCGGUUU